rnacentral:rRNA from 1 species
GAUGAACGCUGGCGGCGUGCCUAAUACAUGCAAGUCGAACGGAGAGAUUGUAGCAAUACGGUCUCUUAGUGGCGAACGGGUGAGUAACGCGUUGGUGACCUGCCCCGAAGUGUGGGAUACCAGUUCGAAAGGAUUGCUAAUACCGCAUGUGAUCAUUGGGUCUAGAAGCCGAUGAUUAAAGGAGAAAUUCGCUUCGGGAGGGAUCUGCGUCCCAUCAGCUAGUUGGUAGGGUAACGGCCUACCAAGGCGACGACGGGUAGGGGACCUGAGAGGGUGGACCCCCG